rnacentral:rRNA from 1 species
UACGUAGGGGGCAAGCGUUGUCCGGAAUUAUUGGGCGUAAAGGGCUCGUAGGCGGUCUGUCACGUCGGGAGUGAAAACACGGGGCUUAACCCCGUGCCUGCUUCCGAUACGGGCAGACUAGAGGUAUGCAGGGGAGAACGGAAUUCCUGGUGUAGCGGUGAAAUGCGCAGAUAUCAGGAGGAACACCGGUGGCGAAGGCGGUUCUCUGGGCAUUACCUGACGCUGAGGAGCGAAAGUGUGGGGAGCGAACAGG